CUGUCAAACAAAUUAUAAACUUUUGUGUGAUAUAUUUCAAGACCCCACUUUUCAUAAUUAUUUGCAGUGCUUCGUUUUACCUUCCCUGAAAGUGGGGAUCGGGUCAGAAGCAGCUAAAACUGAAAGCAGCAGGUUCUGCUGGAUCUCUGGAUCGUGUCUCUACCUGGGACUCACCUCUCCGGAUCGCUGGAACAGAAACUGCACGCGCCGUUCGGUUCAGCAAUUUAAAUUGCCUCCACGAGCAUUUUGAUGGCGAUCACGCGCCCCUUUUGAAAUCUCGCUGCCCAAUCUGCGCCAUAAAGGAUCCGUUCUGUUUCUGUCAGCAACAACAGCAGCAGCAGCAGCAGUUCUUGGUCAGUUCUUUAAUCGUCACUGUUUGUGCCGACAAAGUUUGAGGAAUAGGAAGGAGGAGUUGCCACUCCUGGAAGGCAAACGGCGUCAUGUGCAUCCUGAUUUCGGGCCAACUAACACGUAGUUCCAGUUUGAGUGGGCGUAACGCUAGGCCAAUCUCGAUAAGAUGCCAUUUCGUUUGAAAAGACAAAGAGUGCCGGAAAUAAUUGUCAGGGGAGGCUGAAUCCUGUGGCUCUGUGGCUACCUGUCUUGACGUGGCUAAUGAAUCGGCUAUCCCUUUUUUCUUUCGGUAAUUAAAAAUUCACAGAGCGAACGGAUGUGGCUACCGUUAGAAGGAUGUAUGUGGCAUAUGGUAGUGUGAAUUUAUUCACCUUGAUCCUUAUGAAUUUAUUCAUAAGGAUUUUGCCGGGAAACAGGAAACUCUUGACGAGGUGUUGAAUGCCGAGGCCUGAGAUUCUCGAGGCCCAGGAGGUUAGGUAACCGAACUGCACACGCCAUGACAAAUUUUACGAUCCUCGUCUGAAUCCUUGAUCCUGGCUGGCAUUGUUUUAGCUCGCUUAUGACAUAAUGAGAGCAGUUUCGACGAUGACCUCAUGGCAAACGCAAUGUUAUGCAAUAGACUGCCUUGCCAACGGCAGCCCGAAAGCCGUAAGCCAUAAAAUCCAGGAUCCGGAGGACCCUCAGACCUAGAUCUACAUAGAUGGCCCAUAAAAACGGCCACUGAACUAUAUUCGCUGCCUGGCCCAGACGUUUGUGACCUGAAAAAAUCUGCGCACACACAUUUGUUUAUGGCAUGUUGUUAAAAAAUUCAGGACAUCGAGAGCGGGCCUGUUUUUGGGUCGACAUCGAGACAUUUACGCAAUUCCAGGCAAAAAACAAGGCCAUGGAUCCUGAAUCCACCAUAUCCCGCUGUUGAUUCCGCGAACGCUUUUUGCAAUAUUUUUUUCUGGAAUUCCGGCGUAGCAAAUCCUGGAACAGGACUCGCAUCAUGCCUGGUCUGCUCUAAUUUUUUGUUACAAUUGUUUUUUCUUUUUCUAUGCCAGCAGCAGAUUUGCAUUUUCGCGUGGCAGGCUUGUUCUUUUUCUCAAUGCUCCUUUAUUUUUUUGAGGUUGACCGAGGCAUCAGGCCAGGACAACAAAAAGUUGUCCUAGAUAAACAAAAAAAUUGUCUCAGUCGGCGGCGGGUGCCACUGAGAGGACGCGUGUCAAUAUUUAAGGACCCUGCAAAAAAAUCCACAAAUACCUGA
rnacentral:sRNA from 1 species